UGAGGAAUUUUCCGCAAUGGGCGAAAGCCUGACGGAGCGACGCCGUGUGUGGGAUGAAGUUUUUCGGAAUGUAAACCACUGUCAGCAGGGAAGAUAUUGACGGUACCUGCAGAGGAAGGCCCGGCUAACUACGUGCCAGCAGCCGCGGUAAUACGUAGGGGCCAAGCGUUGUCCGGAAUCAUUGGGCGUAAAGGGUGCGUAGGCGGCUUUUUAAGUCGGGUGUGAAAUCUACAGGCUCAACCUGUAGCUGCAUUCGAUACUGAUUAGCUGGAGAAUGGUAGAGGAAAGCGGAACUUUUGGUGUAGCGGUGAAAUGCGUAGAUAUCAAAAGGAACACCAGUGGCGAAGGCGGCUUUCUGGGCCAUUUCUGACGCUGAAGCACGAAAGCCAGGGGAGCAAACGGG
rnacentral:rRNA from 1 species